CUGAGACCUGGGUGCUGGCUCCGUGGGUGGCGAGCGGGGCCGGGGAGCUGGGUGACUCCCGAGGGCGGGGCCCACGCGGCGGGGAGACGAUCAGCCGGUGUGACCAGGGAGGGCCCCAGCUGGCCCUGGCCAGAUGCCCCGUCCCCACACCCUGGCCGGGUGGGUGGCUGACAGUACGGGUAGCGGAGGGCUCAUGAGCUGUGACAUCUUCCUGAAAGCCCUCCAGCGGGGAGGGAGGGACGCUCUUCCACGGCACGGAAGCCACUCUGCACAUUCUAGAAUGUGCGAGAAGACGCCCUCACUCCAGGCGCCACCCCUCAGACACCAAUUGACGGAGGGCCGCUCCCUGCAGUCCAGACUCUCCCUAGAUCGUCCCCAGCCAGGGGCAGGCGGCCGGCAUCCAGGGGCCAGGCUUGGUCACGAGAGGAACCUCAUGCCCUCCGACACCGGAUCCGCUGCCAGGUGCCCUGACUUCGUGCAGGCAGAGGGCACCCGGCUCUGGAGUGUGUGGAGCUGGCACCGGCAGUGGCCUUGCCGUCCGGUCCAUGUGCCCUGUCCUUCCCUGGGCUGUGUGUCCCUCUGCUCUCUCAGUGGCCAGACUUACAGGGAGGCAGUGUGCAGCGGCCAUUCCCAACAGCCACAGCGCCUCAAGGCCACUGAGGCACCCUGUGUGCUCUGCUCUGCGGGUUUGGCUCUCAGACCAUUCCCCGGGGUAAGCCAGCUCUGCAGGAGGACCUCGAGUGACAAGGACGCAGAGGACACUGAAACAAGGAAAGGGAGGUGAGAGGACCGGAGCAAGAACAGGCAACACAGAGACGGGAGCCAGGCUGGACUCUAGGUCGAAGGGAGCAAGGCCUGUCUGCUGCCCAAGGACAGGGCUCUACAGAGAGUAGCCGCCCAGGGCCCGGCACCACCCAGGAAGGGCCCGACUGGGCUCUGUCCUACGUUGCAGCCUCCAGUGGGUGUGAGGGAGAGGACAGUGAGGUUUGUUCCCCCAAACACCCGCUCCCUUCCAGCCGCCUGCGGGGACCGAGCCGCGGGGUCUGGGCUGCCCUGGGCGGGCGCAGGCUCCUCCCACCGCGGCCGGGCUCUUUUCCCUGAGCACCUUUGCAUCUUCCAGCUCAGAGACGAGGCUCGGGGUGCGUGUGCCUCUGGAAUCUGUCGCAAACCUAACGUCCCAGCUACUCCAGGUGCACUCCGAGGACCCCAGCUCCGGCUCAGCACCAUUUGGAAUGUUCACAGGUUUUGUGGCUUGGGCAUUGGGACAGGGAGCAGCAGGGAUGGCCUGUCACGUGUCUGCCAUUUGGUGCAGGUUUGGCCGGACCUGGGCUGGGGCUGCUGGCCAACACCUGGGUGUGGCCUCCUCAUGGAGCUGGGGCUUCCUCCCAACAUGGCUGCAAAGUUCAAAAGUGAGAAUGGAGGGGCGAGGGGGCAGGGACCCAGAGGGAGCCACACUGUAAUGACCUCGCCUUCAAAGUCACCCAGCUCCACCUCCACCCCAGGUUCACUCCACGGUGCUCUCUGGACACGUGCUCCCCACGGGCAAGCGGGCUCUCCUCCGUCUCCGCUGUUCCCCGUCGCCGACUCCCGUCCAGUCGUGUGGGCAGGAUCGAAGCCAGGAUCCCACCCUGCAAGGGGCCGACACCCUCCAGACGGGGCUUCUCGCUCGUAACUCCUGCAAGCCCCAGGACAGGGUCCCCUCAACUGUGAGCCGCCCCCCAGUACAGUGGGCAGCAGAGGGGCUCCUAGCCAGGUAGGAGCAGCCCCCUCUCUCCAGGAGAGGGUCUCCCCGACCUUGGCCAUCCUGGCCUGGCCCUGGAACCAGCCCUCCGAUUUAGUGGAAAGGACGGGCCAGGCCCAUGACGCUCUUUAGAGAGGUGUGGGUCACGGGCACACGGUGCUCAGCUCUGUCUCCUCAAUCUGAAUUUGACCUUGUGCUGAAGCCCUGGCCUAACCUGGGCCCCCCCAGGAAUCUGGGAGGGGAAGCCUGUGCUCUCAUACCCAGGGUCUCGGCUCCUUGUCAGUGAGGGUCAUUCUCACCCGUGUGGGGGUCAGACGCUGCAGAGCGAGCCUCCCCUGGCCUCGACUGGGACCUGGGCAGGACUGGAAUCCACCCAGCGAUUCUGAAAGAAGGCAGGAGCGGGAGAGGGGAGGGAGCCGGGCCUCUUUGUGUCCCGUUGGGCCUUAGGGUGGGCCGAGGACUUGGGGCAAGAACCAGGGAGGAGAGCCCAGCAGCCAUGGCUGCCCCUGGAGAGUGAAGGAAAGACCCAGGGCUUGGAAGAAGGGGUCUCCUAACUCCACACCCCCACACUGGUCCCAGGCUGACCCUGAACCUCACAUGCAGGUGAGGACUCAGAACAGCAGAAGAACAGCUGCAAAAACUGAGCGAGAUCUCACCAUCACACACGGAGGUCAAGGCGGAGCCCACGGCUGAGUCCAACCAGGUGGACCGUCAGCUAAGACAAACACGAAGCAGCCGUCAGGGAAUACAACGCCACCCAGACUCAGCUCCGCAUCUCAGUCCCAACGUCCAGGUAGAAGUCUUUAGCAUCACUUGGCGUACAAAGGGCCAAGAAAAUG
rnacentral:lncRNA from 1 species